AACGAACGCUGGCGGCAUGCCUAACACAUGCAAGUCGAACGAAGUCUUCGGACUUAGUGGCGCACGGGUGCGUAACGCGUGGGAAUCUGCCCUUGGGUACGGAAUAACUCAGAGAAAUUUGUGCUAAUACCGUAUAAUGUCUUCGGACCAAAGAUUUAUCGCCCAAGGAUGAGCCCGCGUAAGAUUAGCUAGUUGGUGGGGUAAAAGCCUACCACGGCGAGGAUCUUUAGCUGGUCUGAGAGGAUGAUCAGCCACACUGGGACUGAGACACGGCCCAGACUCCUACGGGAGGCAGCAGUGGGGAAUAUUGGACUAUGGGCGAAAGCCUGAUCCAGCAAGGCCGCGUGAGUGAUGAAGGCCCUAGGGUUGUAAAGCUCUUUUACCAGGGAUGAUAAUGACAGUACCUGGAGAAUAAGCGCCGGCUAACUCCGUG
rnacentral:rRNA from 1 species